ensembl:misc_RNA
UUGCCAGCCCUGGAGAAUGGAUUCCUCUAUUGACUCAUGCACAAAGGACAGCACAGGCAGCAGCAGUGCAAGCUUUCACCAUCCUGCCCUAGCCAUGUGCCUCAGCCCUGGCCCAGACAGGGGAAGGAGAGCUCACUUGCCAUUCCCAGCGGCUGAGAUUGCCCACA